GACUGACUGGCUCGAUACUGACACUGAGGUGCGAAAGCGUGGGAGCAAACGGGAUUAGAUACCCCGGUAGUCACGCCGUAAACGAUGUCUACUAGCCGUUGGAGGACUUGAUCCUUUAGUGGCGCAGCUAACGCGAUAAGUAGACCGCCUGGGGAGUACGGUCGCAAGAUUAAAACUCAAAUGAAUUGACGGGGGCCCGCACAAGCGGUGGAGCAUGUGGUUUAAUUCGAAGCAACGCGAAGAACCUUACCUACUCUUGACAUCCAGUGAACUUUUGAGAGAUCAAUUGGUGCCUUCGGGAACACUGAGACAGGUGCUGCAUGGCUGUCGUCAGCUCGUGUUGUGAAAUGUUGGGUUAAGUCCCGUAACGAGCGCAACCCUUGUCCUUAGUUACCAUCAUUAAGUUGGGGACUCUAAGGAGACUGCCGGUGACAAACCGGAGGAAGGCGGGGACGACGUCAAGUCAUCAUGGCCCUUACGAGUAGGGCUACACACGUGCUACAAUGGCAUGUACAAAGGGUUGCCAAGCCGCGAGGUGGAGCUAAUCCCAUAAAGCAUGUCGUAGUCCGGAUUGGAGUCUGCAACUCGACUCCAUGAAGUCGGAAUCGCUAGUAAUCGUGAAUCAGAAUGUCACGGUGAAUACGUUCCCGGGCCUUGUACACACCGCCCGUCACACCAUGGGAGUGGGUUGCUCCAGAAGUAGAUAGCUUAACCUUCGGGAGGGCGUUUACCACGGAGUGAUUCAUGACUGGGGUGAAGUCGUAACAAGGUAACCGUA
rnacentral:rRNA from 1 species